GUCCACGCCGUAAACGAUGAUAACUAGCUGUCCGGGCACUUGGUGCCUGGGUGGCGCAGCUAACGCAUUAAGUUAUCCGCCUGGGGAGUACGGUCGCAAGAUUAAAACUCAAAGUAAUUGACGGGGGCCUGCACAAGCGGUGGAGCAUGUGGUUUAAUUCUAAGCAACGCGCAGAACCUUACCAGCCUUUGACAUCCCGCGCUACCUGGAGAGAUUCAGGGUUCCCUUCGGGGACGCGGUGACAGGUGCUGCAUGGCUGUCGU
rnacentral:rRNA from 1 species